UACGUAGGGUGCAAGCGUUAAUCGGAAUUACUGGGCGUAAAGCGUGCGCAGGCGGUUGUGUAAGACAGAUGUGAAAUCCCCGGGCUCAACCUGGGAACUGCAUUUGCGACUGCACGGCUGGAGUGCGGCAGAGGGGGAUGGAAUUCCGCGUGUAGCAGUGAAAUGCGUAGAUAUGCGGAGGAACACCGAUGGCGAAGGCAAUCCCCUGGGCCUGCACUGACGCUCAUGCACGAAAGCGUGGGGAGCAAACAGG
rnacentral:rRNA from 1 species